AUGGGCUGUUCAAUUUACAACAAAAUUCUCUGUUAACCCUUUCGUCACUGUAUUUCUGUUCAGAUGCUCUGUGUUUUCUUUCAAUUUACUUUAAAUAUAACAAAGAAUUUAGUAAAACAACUUGGUUAUCAUUCAGCUAGUGUUAGGGACAUAAAUUGUGACUAAGGUUUGGUUGAAGAUUUUAA